rnacentral:rRNA from 1 species
AACGAACGCUGGCGGCAUGCCUAACACAUGCAAGUCGAACGAGACCUUCGGGUCUAGUGGCGCACGGGUGCGUAACGCGUGGGAACCUGCCCUUAGGUUCGGAAUAACUCCCCGAAAGGGGUGCUAAUACCGGAUAAUGUCUUCGGACCAAAGAUUUAUCGCCUUUGGAUGGGCCCGCGUUGGAUUCGCUAGUUGGUAGGGUAAAAGCCUGCCAAGGCGACGAUCCAUAGCUGGUCUGAGAGGAUGAUCAGCCACACUGGGACUGAGACACGGCCCAGACUCCUACGGAAAGCAGCAGUGGGGAAUAUUGGACAAUGGGCGAAAGCCUGAUCCAGCAAUGCCGCGUGAGUGAUGAAGGCCUUAGGGUUGUAAAUCUCUUUUACCCGGGAUGAUAAUGACAGUACCGGGAGAAUAAGCUCCGGCUAACUCCGUG